UAUGAAAUAUAGAUACCCAGAGCCA
rnacentral:piRNA from 1 species